rnacentral:rRNA from 1 species
UUUUUCCUACGGGGCGCAGCAGUGAGGAAUAUUGGUCAAUGGUCGGGAGACUGAACCAGCCAAGCCGCGUGAGGGAGGAAGGUACAGAGUAUCGUAAACUUCUUUUGUCGGGGAACAAAGGCGGAGACGCAUCUCCGGAUGAGUGUACCCGAAGAAAAAGCAUCGGCUAACUCCGUGCCAGCAGCCGCGGUAAUACGGAGGAUGCGAGCGUUAUCCGGAUUUAUUGGGUUUAAAGGGUGCGCAGGCGGGAGAUCAAGUCAGCGGUAAAAUGUCGGGGCUCAACCCCGGCCGGCCGUUGAAACUGG